GCCAGUGUGGCACAAUGGCUUGAGUGCUGGACGACAACUCUGGAGGCCAGGGUUCAAUUCCCAUUCUGCCA